CUGUAUAUCACUUACUCCAAAACUCAGUGUGUUUACAGUGCCCACGGGAAUGAAAAAGCAGAAGACCUCGUAAACUAAAUAGUUUCCUAAUUAACAUAUUUAAUCUAAAACACCCCAGCAACUUAGCUUGAGGGGGAGAAAGAAGGAGGAGAAAUGUGCUAUCCUUGAGAAUGCUCUUCCUCUGCUUAUCUUGAAGGCACAGCUAUACACCUCUGGAAGGUUGCCCUAACCUACACCUCUAGCCCUCUGCAGCACCAUUUAAGACCAAGUGCUAUUGUCCUCUGCUGCUGCUGCCGCUGCUGCUGGAGCACGGCAAGACUUUGAAACAGUCUCCAUGACAAUCAGAGAGAUGCAGUCUGGAUCCUAAUGGGGGUGACACAUGGCUGUGACUGUAUCCUGCAGAGCAAGGUUCUUUGUAUCACAUUUGAGCCAAGAAGCAUCUGAGCGAAAAGGUAUCCUGAAUACUGAAAUACUGGAUAUUUGUGUGUGUUUUUAAUGGACCAUGUGCAAACAGCCAUACAAAGUUAGUGAAGGAGGUAGCGGUUAUCCUACAGAAGGAAAUGUAGAACAAGAUGUGCAGAUUUGGAGACGAUGUGGAACUGACAACCUGAGAAAUGCCAUCCAUAAAGGAAGGCAAUGACUCAGAAGCCAGAGGGGGUCACUGAGGGAAGAAACCCAGGCCAGAAUAGAUCCCCAGGACACAUUUGCAAAGAGAUAAAAAUAGGAGAAAUGCUUUAGUUUUCACACAAUAAAGAAAGUUGCUAGAUUUGAAGAAUAA
rnacentral:lncRNA from 1 species